UACGUAGGGUGCGAGCGUUGUCCGGAAUUACUGGGCGUAAAGAGCUCGUAGGUGGUUUGUCGCGUUGUUCGUGAAAACUCACAGCUUAACUGUGGGCGUGCGGGCGAUACGGGCAGACUGGAGUACUGCAGGGGAGACUGGAAUUCCUGGUGUAGCGGUGGAAUGCGCAGAUAUCAGGAGGAACACCAGUGGCGAAGGCGGUUGCCUGGAGCUUUGCUGACGCUGAUGCGCGAAAGCGUGGGGAGCGAUCCGG
rnacentral:rRNA from 1 species